rnacentral:rRNA from 1 species
UACAUGGGGUGCAAACGUUGCUCGGAAUUAUUGGGCGUAAAGCGCACGUAGGCGGUUUGUUAAGUCGGAUGUGAAAUCCCUCGGCUCAACUGAGGAAGUGCAUCCGAAACUGGCAGGCUUGAGUACUAAAGAGGGUCGCGGAAUUCCCGGUGUAGAGGUGAAAUUCGUAGAUAUCGGGAGGAACACCGGUGGCGAAGGCGGCGACCUGGGUAGAUACUGACGCUGAGGCUCGGAAAGCAUGGGGAGCAAACAGG